CACCAAAGUUUUUUGUCAGGACUUUCUCAUUCUAUACUCUUCAAGAGUGUUAGAUCAUUACAAUAUGGUUUGUCUGUUACAACUUUGGAAGAUCAAUUUAUCACCGCUUUUGUUCAUUCCCGUUAUGGGAAAUGAAUGAUACCUGUUGAUCUCGUUUUGAGAUCGGCUACUUAGGUGACUUGUGGGAUCUUAUGAGUUGAACAUCUUCUGCUGGCCUUUAUUGGUUUUAUUCAGCAUUUCAUGAAGAUUUUCGUAGUAAAGAACCCAACAACC
rnacentral:snoRNA from 1 species